UAGGGAAAGUGGAGGCGGUCGGCUCCCUGCUUAUUACGGCGUCGUCAACUUCCAAAUUCGCAAGGGAAUCGAAUACCCUCGGUUGAAGCUGCCAAACAAGGUAAAGGACUAGCAAAGGUCGUUCUUCUACUGCCAAGCAACGCCGCCUGAAGGAGAAAUCGGCCUUGCUCCCUUCAACAUUGACUCGGCAACUUUGAGCCCGAAUCUGCAAGCUCGAGCCGCCAAGAUCGAUUUGGAAACGGUGAAAGACCUGAAGACGAAGAUCGAGGUCCUCAUGAAGCACGGGCUCCGACCGAGUAACCUGGUGAGUAGCUGGGUACCGUUACGAAUGCAACCACUUCAGCCGCGAGUCGGCCUACUCUGCCAUUGUAGCAACACGGAUCAAGGCCCGACUUGGGGGUGGACCCAUGGCCACUUCAUCAGUCGUAUGAAGCAAUUGGUGGAAGACAUGAUCAAAGACUACAACAAUAUUGGCGGCCUCCCUCCCUUCACGGUUGAGUAUCAGCUAUAUGAGGAACUCCGGAAUCCUAACUCCAUACCGCUCUGAAGGCGACGGACACGUGCGAUUUAGAGCCACCGUUGGCUCCCUACUCCCUGCGGACCCGACAGGCCGCACGAAGAGGGACAUGAGGACUUCGAGAGUCUCCAAUGUUCCCGCACCGAUCUCGACAUUCUGGAGGAUGACCCAGUGUCCGAGUCAUCGAAACACGUUGUCCUCUCUGACGCUGAACAAGAGGAAGAAGAGUAGCCGUUGAAGCGCAGCCGGCCAGUCGAUUCCGAGGACACGCACGACGACCCCCUGAUUAUGGAGUCUCGUGACGAGUCGGCUCGAGCAUUCGACUUCGCAGCUGCAACUCCCGCAGAAGGCUUCGCGCGCCAGUCGCCAUCGCUUCCGGUUCCCCCGGUGAAGAAGACGAACAAGGCGAAGGGCCGAUUUCGUCUCGCAGCCGUAGAGGAACUCAGCUCCGACAGGCGCCAGGAUUGGAAUUUCUCGGGCCGCGACCCCGGAGCCGAGCCUGAAAGGGCAGGAUAUCGACCCGAAUGGGUCCCAAUCCAGGCGCGACGGUCAGGCGUCGGAGCCAAAGAAGGACACGCCAGAGCCAUGUAACCAGGCGGGUGAGGGCGAACGUCCCCUGGAGCGGGCCACAGCCUGAGCCGGUGAGACUUCAUUGAAAUAUCGAGUACGUCACGGAGGGAUGAACGUGACCAGUUUUAAGUUUUCUUCAAAAUAAAGACUGAAAACAGUCACAGUACUUCAACAACAUAGAUUUUACUUAGCAAAUUUUAGAGUUGCAGCGGAAUGAAGAAAGAUGAACAAGUUAAGCAGUAGCA